AAUGCGAGUUGCGGUUUUGCUGGUGAGCUACAACUGUGUUCUAUAUAGGUAGAAGUAUUGAGUACGUAAGUACCUACCGAUAUUGGGUAUGGAUUAAGCAGAGUUGAAGUUUUCGAGUUGUGGAGUGUAGAGUUAACUAUGGUCUAACUAUCACUUGUUAAUUCUGUGAGUGUUUGUGUUAGAAGUUAGAGAGUUCAAUGGUGUGGAAAAAAAUCUUGCGGUGAAUAACGUGGGGGAGAGUAGAGGUUGCUAGGCAGCGAAGUAGUUGCUAAGCAACGAAAUAAACAAAGGGGUCGUCAGUUUUGUUCGUGAUUAACGAGGGGGAGAGUAAACGUUACUAAGCAACGAAGUGGUUGCCAAGCAACGAAACAAACAAAGGGGUCGACAGAUAGUAAGAUUAAUACUAAAGAUCACAAUUUUACAAAACCUUUGUAUUCAGUUAGAAAAAUAAGUUUGCGGUGUUAAGAUGUGAAUAACUAAAGAACUUCUGAUCCGAUUUUUAAAA